GUGGCCAGGGCUUGGCUGGGACGGCCCGGUUGAGAUGACCGUUGUAGACGACGAUCAGCUGCCAAACCGCCAGCUCGGGUUCCCUUUGGUCACAUGAGCUGGGUCACAUGAGCCAUUGGGGGCAGCCAGUGGUGCUGCUGGCCUUGCCUCUUCAUGCGGUGGGAAAACAUUCCAACAGCUGGCCUCGGACUGUUUCAGAAACAUCUGCAAUGUUCGUCACUGGUGAGAAUCCCAAACUCCCGCUGCUCCAGAACAUGACCUUAUGAUAAUAAGUUGGGUUGGUCUCUGCCCAUGCUCAUCGUCCCACCAGUUCCUGUUGGUACUCUGCCAGUAUCUCAGGCUUUAACACUUGACUUUCCGUUGGAGUUCUACAUGAGCUACUGGAUUUCCACUGAUGCAACUGAUAAACAAGAGAGGACAGGAUUCAUGGCGCCUAACGUGGCUGGUGCUGCACAAAGGCACAGGCAGGUAGAACAGCUCCAAACAGUUGAGCUGCACGCUACGCUGGUGUAAUCAUGGCAGAACAGGAACACUGCAUGUUAAAUCAACUAUUUUUUUAUGUUAUGUUGGUUGCUGCACAAUAGCAUUACUACAUUCAAUAAAGUAGCAGUUUGGAUUUUAUGGACA